AAGGAAAAGAGAAAGUGAUAAAUAUGCCUGUGCGUGUGAAAUGUGAGGCUAAGAUCAAGCGAGGAGGAGAGAUGCAAGAAAUGCAACUAGUCCUUCCCCUGCUUGGAAUUGUGGCGGCAGCAGCUGUUACCUUUUAUGCAGUGAGCUUUGCUGAGCUCAGGGAGAAGUCAUUUAGAGAUUUGGAAGAGUCAGAAUCUGAAAAUGGGGGGUUUAAGCCAUCUAUGAGUUCCAGAGAAAAAAGGGCUAGAAGGCAAGCUAACAAAAAGGCCAAAGGUUGAGAGAGGAAGCACCUCUUAACCUAUUACUCUUAAACACAGGAUGAACUCCAGCCACCAACAAGUCUUUCAGAUCCCCUGGUACGGCACCAAACCUACGGAUCAAUGUCUUCCCCCUAGAUUUCGCUGAUCAGGUAAAGUCUAGAAUGCGGACACGGCUUCCGUGCAUCAGUUGGACGUUCAGCCAACCUGACCCCCGGGACACAUCUUCAUUACCAUCCACAGUCCUCGCUAGCUCACAGAGUACUCUCACCAUCCACGGCCCCGCCUGACUCACAGAGUAAACUCUCACUAUCAACAGUUCCUGCUGGCUCACAGAGCAAAUUCUCAUCAUCCACAAGUACCAUUGGCUACGGGUGGCCUAAGAAGGCGGUAAUCCAGCCCGAGAAGGAUUGUGUAGGUUGAGGUCAGCUCUGUGUUAAUUGACUUGGUUAUAAAGGUUGAGGUCAGCCCUGUGCACCAAGUUGUUUAGGUUCCGCUCCACCUGUUAAGUGAGCCUAUAGUGGUAAUCCUUGUGCUUGUUAGCCAAGGAAGGGACGUAAGCAAUUUGGCCGAACCUCGUUAACAUUUCUAGGUGUCGUCUCCUUUACUAUUUUAUUGUACAUGCUUGGUUAAAUUUUUAUUGCAGUUUAAAUUUUGUUGUAUAUUUACAUUGAUUUAUUUUACAUACACUAGAUUAACCUUA